ACUCGUCAUCAGGAUUGUGGUAUGCGCUGCUGAAUUACUAUCCCCAGGAUGUGGAUGAUGCGUCCAUCUCAAACCAGGAGUCUACAUUGGGGUAUUGUCGUAAGACAGUGCACCGAGGUCACUAAGAAAGGGUGUACUGCCCCAGGCUGGUUUACAGAGCAGGGAAAAGCCUUCGCUCUUGGUAGUGGGAGGAUCUCGUAUCAGAAUCCUGAUGUACUACUACUGCGCU
rnacentral:SRP_RNA from 1 species